CCGACCUUAGCUCAGUUGGAAGAGCGCAAGACUGUAAUCGGAAAAACGUCUCACGGACGAUCCUCUUGGGUCGUUUCUGAAGUUCAUCUUGAUGUCGCCUGUUCGAGCCAGGCAGGUCGGA
rfam:Coprinopsis cinerea okayama7#130 chromosome 13 cont3.13, whole genome shotgun sequence.